GUCCAGUAAGCCUUUUUUUCAACUUUUGACCUCGGAUCAGGUAGGGAUACCCGCUGAACUUAA
rnacentral:rRNA from 1 species